AUGAAAGAUGAGCAACAUGCAAUUAAUGUUCUGAUUCUUUCAAGAUGUUGCCUAUAGGCACAUUUAACCCAUGUCCCACAAUCAGUGUUUACAGGUAGGCCUAACUGGAAUCUGAGCCUGUGCAUUGAAUAACCCGAAAAGCAAACACAUGCAUUACUGUCAACAUGCAGUAGCACUGAGCACUACAAAGAAGUUGCUUAUUUGGAUACAAAGACCAAUCCUAAGCCAGCUUUUGUUUCAGUUGGAAAUUGCCCGCUCAAAUUAACGCUUUCACAAACAAUGCAUCAUUUGGGUCAUCAUUUCGCUGUGUGAUUCGUGUGUGAUACGAUCAGGGAAGCAAGUCUGAAGUUCUUCUACUGAAAGCCUGUAUCUUUUGCCUGUUUUCUAGAAUCAGUCGAACCAUAUCGAAAAAUUCAAAUUAUCUACAGAGAUGGGUCGUCUACAGAAUAAAGAAAUAUCGUAUAUGCCGAUCAUUGAAAAUGGGUUCGCAAAAACGUCUAACUCAUCAAUUAAAUUUGGGAAUGGCAAGAAGAAGCAUACCAAUCAUCUAUAGACGAUAGAGGUCUGGGAGGAAGAGAAGUUAAGCAUUCUAGAAGCAAUGACAUAAGCAGUGGACCCAUCCUUGGCAACAACAUGACUUCUUCAGCAUGUUCAUGGAAAUUUAAUGAUCUCUUUGUGUCACUAGA